UGGGGAAUUUUGGACAAUGGGGGAAACCCUGAUCCAGCCAUCCCGCGUGUGCGAUGAAGGCCUUCGGGUUGUAAAGCACUUUUGGCAGGAAAGAAACGUCAUGGGUUAAUACCCCGUGAAACUGACGGUACCUGCAGAAUAAGCACCGGCUAACUACGUGCCAGCAGCCGCGGUAAUACGUAGGGUGCAAGCGUUAAUCGGAAUUACUGGGCGUAAAGCGUGCGCAGGCGGUUCGGAAAGAAAGAUGUGAAAUCCCAGAGCUCAACUUUGGAACUGCAUUUUUAACUACCGGGCUAGAGUGUGUCAGAGGGAGGUGGAAUUCCGCGUGUAGCAGUGAAAUGCGUAGGUAUGCGGAGGAACACCGAUGGCGAAGGCAGCCUACUGGGAUAACACUAACGCUCAUGCACGAAAGCGUGGGGAGCAAACAGG
rnacentral:rRNA from 1 species